GUCGCGGCGCGGGGGAGAAGCAGGCGUUUCCCGCUGCGCCGGGCCUGGCCAGCCUGGUGCGGUUCUGCGGACGGAGGCAGAGCAGGGCAGGGACGUGCUUCAGCGGUAACUGUGCUUGCAACAUCCCUUGAAUCUGCAGGAAGGACUCUCGGAGGCUACUGAGACUGGGCUGUAUGAAAACUCCCAGAGGAAAUGCCAGUUGGGAUGGCUCGAGAUCUGGAGGAAAGUGGCUCGUCUUCAGAGGAGGAGGAGGAUGUUGUAGAUGGGCUGGAGGAUCAUCCAUGUAUCAAGUGGACUGGUGGUGGCUGCAGGCGGAUCCCCAUCUUGGUGUUUCAUGCUGAAGCCAUUCUGACCAACGACAGCUACCUCCGCCUAAUUGGAGAGCGCUACCACUUGUCCUAUAAGAUUGUGCGAACAGACAGCCGUCUGGUGCGAAGCAUUUUGACUGCCCAUGGAUUCCAUGAGGUGCACCCUAAUAGCAGUGAUUAUAAUCUCAUGUGGACAGGAUCACACUUGAAGCCCUACUUGCUACGUUCCCUUACAGAUAUUCAGAAAGUCAAUCAUUUCCCCAGGUCAUAUGAACUGACACGAAAGGACAGACUAUACAAGAACGUCAGUCGUAUGCAGCUGGCCCAUGGAUUCAAGACGUUCCAUAUCUUACCUCAGACCUUUAUCCUCCCGUCAGAGUACCAGGACUUCUGCAAUACCUAUUCUAAGGACAGAGGCCCAUGGAUAGUGAAGCCUGUGGCCUCUUCCAGGGGUCGAGGUGUCUACCUGAUAAACAAUCCAAACCAGAUUGUCCUGGAAGACAACACCCUGGUUUCUCGUUACAUCAGCAACCCCCUGCUCAUAGAUGAUUUCAAAUUUGAUGUGCGCCUCUAUGUUCUGGUUACAUCCUAUGAUCCACUUGUCAUCUAUCUCUACGAGGAAGGAUUGGCCAGGUUUGCAACAGUGAGGUAUGACCAGACAUCCAAGAACAUUAAAAACCAGUUCAUGCAUCUGACCAACUAUAGCGUCAACAAGAAGAGUGGAGAUUAUGUCAGCUGUGAUGAUCCUGAAGUAGAAGAUUAUGGAAACAAGUGGAGCAUGAGUGCAAUGCUGAGGUACUUAAAACAAGAGGGGAGAGACACGGCAGCGCUGAUGGCCAACGUGGAGGACCUGAUUAUCAAGACUGUAGUUUCUGCUGAGCUGGCCAUUGCCACAGCUUGUAGAACUUUUCUUUCACAUCGUGGCAGCUGCUUUGAGCUCUAUGGUUUUGAUGUCCUUAUUGAUGAUACUCUCAAGCCUUGGCUGUUGGAAGUGAACCUAUCCCCAUCACUGGCCUGUGAUGCUCCUUUGGACCUGAAGAUCAAAGCUAGCAUGCUCUCAGAUAUGUUCACUCUUGUAGGCUUUGUGUGCCAGGAUCCAGGCCAGCGGUCAAGCCGGGCCAUUUAUCAUUCAUCUGAAUCUGUCAGGAGAAAUCCAUACCAGAAGCUGCAGCGUCCUGUGUCUGCGCAGUCACAAACAGCAAACACCAGAUUGCGUACCCGUCCUCUGUCUGCCAGUGAUGCUGAAAUUAAAAACCCGAUGCCCUCAGGCAGGGAAAAAGCAACAGGAAGGCAAGGCAGCUCUGUGCUAGGUCUCUCCAUGGAGGAAAUAAAAGUUCUUCGUCGAGUGAGAGAGGAAAAUGAACGGAGAGGAGGCUUCAUCCGGAUAUUCCCUACCCCAUUAACAUGGGACCUUUAUGGAUCCUUUUUAGAACACAAGACAUCAAUGAACUACAUGCUGGCUACACGUCUGUUUCAGGACAGGGGCAAGAUGAAAAGAGACUUCAUUGCUGGGAGAUCCCGAACAGGUCUUGAUGGAAGGCUGGAUAUGAGACUGGAAGCUGUAGACUCUCAUUCUCUUUUUUAUGAGAGAAAGCUUGUUUCACUAGAGUUACGGAAGCGCCGGCGAUGUCAUGGCAAGGCUAGAGCAGCACGGACAAGAUCAUCAGGGACAUCAGAACCAACAAAGCUGUCCCUCAAGUCAGACACAGAAGGUGAGGAGGAAGAGGAGGUGGAUGCAGAUGAAGACAACGAACUAGAUAGAACUGUUGACUCUCUUUCGGACACCCAGGUGAAAAGCAAGCCAAAGCUCUCUGACUUGGUGAAACCUACUUGUAAGGAGAGGGUGCCAAAAAAACUUGACAAGAAAACCGGAGAUGGUGGAGAGCCUUUUCUUCAAAAACCAGACUCAGAAUCUCAGUUUAACUUGCUGCAGAUUCUUCAAAAGCAUGGAAACCUGAGCAAAGUGCAAGCUCGCAGGGCUUUCUCUGCCUAUCUACAGCAUGUUCAGUUGCGACUGAUGAAGGAGGCUGGUGACCAGAUCCAGAAUCCUGCCUGGGCUGCCAAAGAGGAUGAGCAAAUGGAGCUUGUGGUACGCUUUCUGAAGCGAGCUGCCAGCAAUCUUCAGCAGUCCUUGACGAUGCUGCUCCCCAGCCGUCGUUUAGGACUAAAUGAUCGUCGUCGCAUCCUGGCUCACCAGCUGGGCGAGUUCAUAAUCUGCUAUAACAAGGAAACGGAGCAGAUGGUUCAGAAGCGAUCAAAAAAGAAACAGGAAGAGGAGGAGGAGGGAGUGAAUCCUGAAGGCUUUCAGAACUUUAUUACCAGAGCAAGUGAAAGUGACCUGGAGGAAGUGCUGACCUUUUACACACACAAGAACAAGUCAGCAAGUGUCUUCCUAGGAACAAACUCCACAAACGCAAAACCCAGCAGCACCAGUAACCAGUCAGAAAAACAGCCUCAAGGGGAGCAUCCCGAGGUGAUGAAAAAAAUAAAAGGUGAUCAGCCCAAAAGUUCAGUUGCAGAUCUGCCUGCAGAAGGAGCAUCAAAAGGCUAUAAACCCAAAGAAGUUAAAUCAACCUUUCCAGAAGCACCCACCUUCUCCUUAAAUGCUGAAGUGAAAUUACCUCGGUGCGGCCCUCCUAGCGCUUCUUCCUGUGUUUCUGGUGCCACAUUCCAGAGAAGUACCAGUUCCUGGAUACCAUCUCAGCCUGCAGCCUCUGAAAAUUCACAGGUGCCUCGUCACCAUUCAUUGCCAGCUCCUCCAGUUGGUCCCAGGCUGAUUCAGUCCUCAUCCCUACUACCCUCCUCACAGAGCACUGCUCCUGACAGCUCUUCUGUCUUCACAAACCCAGUGUCCAGUGAGGCUUCUAGCCUUGCAGGAUUACAUCGUAGUCAUUCUGGUAGCUACACCAUUGGCCCAUUCUCAUCUUUUCAGAGAGCUGCUCAGAUCUACAGCCAAAGAUUGUCCCGACCAUCAUCUGCAAAAGUAGGUUUGUGCCAUCACAGUCCAAGUGGGCAGCGUGUGGGCUCAACCAGGAUGCACAAAGAUGCAGAAGAUACUUCUUCCCAGGGCAAACGUUAUAGUCCCAGUGUGGUAGCAGCGGAACUGCAGCAGCUGGCAGAAAAGCAAGCAGCCUGUCAGUAUUCCCCACCAAGCCACAUGACUAUCCUUACACAGCAGUUAACAAACCUGAACUUGGCAAGUGGAACUAUAAGCAAGGGAAAUGCAGCUGCUACAGAGAGCUACCGGUCACUGCUCAACAAAAGAGGGCCAUUGUGGGCUGUUCAGUCAGACACUCAUAUAGCUGAUAAAAGAUCUGUCUCUUCAGCAGUCAGGGCUCCAGAGAAUCAUCAUUUUUCCUGGGAAGGAGAGAUGGAGAACAGUGUCUACAACAAGGUGACACGGAGUCCACUGGUACAUCCCAACUGUCAGCUCCAUUUUGCUGUGCAGCAACUUCAGCAGCAGAAACUUCAGUCACGACAGCUGUUGGAGCAAAGCCAAGCCCGGCACCAGGCUCUCUUUGCCAGCUACUCACAAUCCAGCACCAGCCAUAUAUCUGUGCCAGCUGGCUCUGAUGCCUGCAAGACAUCAAGUGCCACUUCUAGUAUCCAGAAGGCAGCCAGUUCGCACAAAGUGAUGCCAUCCCAGAGUACGCCUUCUCAGCUGGUUCCAAAGCCUCCAGCAAACCACAGGCAGACAGCGGUCAGAAAGGCUGCAGCCCAGAGGAUUUCCAAGGUGACCUCCACUGAAAGGCAGCCGAAUGGAUUCCAGAACAGCCUUCACAGUGCUGCAUCCUGUGAGCCAGGGACAAAUUCCACAGCCUCUGCUCACAGAGAAGGACUAAGACUGAACACCAGGUGAGGAAUCCAGGGUGUUGCUUCAAGUAUGGGGCAAAGGAAAAAGCAGCAGUGACUUCAUACCACCACACUCAGAUAACACCCAGGAGAGAGUGAAGAGGAGGCCCUGGUGAGAGGACCACCCACUGAGGAGAGUACCAGAACAUCUGUGGAAGCUGGUGAUACAUCUGCAAACUGAGCUCCUCUGUCAUUUCUAGCCUGUAGAGUCAUGAUUUAGACAUCAUUCUGAUGUGUUGGCAAGUAGAUAAUGAUCAACCCAAAUGGCAGACAGAAGAAAGAGUCUUUAAAUUCUCUUUAAAUAUUGUGUUUAUGUUCACUCUUGGAUUCUGCCUAUUUUCUGUCAUUCAAGACCAGAUAAAUUGUGAGAAGAUGAAAUAAUGAGGUUCAUACCCCAUUAGUUUCACUAUCACUUGCUCCAGGCAUGAAUUCAUAGGACAGAACAUGCAUUUUUCUAUUUCUGUUCCACUCACGCAUAUGACAGACACUGAAUACUUCAUUUGUCCAAAAUGCAGUUCUGAUGUAGUUGUUCCCUUACUUUGUUGGCUUAUCUUUCAUUUACUAGACAGUCAUGAUCCUUUUCACUUUCUUUGCAUUUUUCAGCUGUGUUCUUCAAGAAUCUCCAUGACAUUUUUCUACUGCCUGUGCUGCUUUCACAUAUCAUCAGUGACCAAGAGAUUUGUAAAAUCUUGUAAAGUUGCUUUCAGAUCAUGACCCUUCUGUCUGUAAUCAUUUAAAGCCUCCCAUGGAUCUCAGACAUAGAUGUUUCUACUGGUGCAUCAAGUUAUCAGCUCAUGAUGAGUGAAAAUUUAGUUGCAGAAGUUGUUACUUCAAACUUCUGUGCAACCUCAGCAGCUGUGGGCUUCAAGACCUUGGAUCUGUCUUCUCAUAGCCUACUCUGCUAAUGUGUGGUAUUGGCUAUAGCCUCCAGCUCUGUUCCAGAACUGUCAGAGGGCUUAUUUCCCUAUAAGACUUAGCUUCAGUAAUAAUAGAUUCCAUUCCUUUCUUCCCACCAGGGGAUCAGAGUUACCCUUAUUCCACUGGGUUUCAUGUGCAGGAUUGAGUAGCCAUUAGGGUAUACAUCCUUGUGCAAUUCUCAUCUCUGUUUUUGUUCUCUAGUUUCUUCAUUCAGGUUGUCACAGCCACCACUGAAAACUAUAGAGAGGUUUGGAGGAUAGAGAUUUAAAUGCACAGUUUUCCCAGGAAAGGUGAUUGUCUUUGGAGGAUCAUUGUCAGAAACAGCUUUCUUACAUCUCUGGCAAAUUACUAAUUAGUGCUGGCUUAUUAUCAAAAUAGGUUAAUUGUUUUGUCAGCUUUUCCAGUCUCCCACCCACUCAUUUUGGGAUAAUGAUUUUACUCAGCUACAGCCAGCAUAUUUUCCGAUCUUCUUUGCAUUGCAUGUUAGAUGUAGCCAACACCACAUCUGUUAUCUGUGAUGACUUAGUAGCAGUGUAUCAUUCAUCUUGUCUCUUAACAUUUUUGAAAUAUUCAGAGAAAUGCACGUUGCAGUCUAAGACCCUUGUUUGGAAGGAUGAAUUUUGUCAGCUUCAGGAGCAGUGAAGUCUUGCAUUCUUUGUCCCUGGAAAUUUUUUCUUCUGCUUCCAAAAUACAAAAAAAAAACCCCAAGGGAUAUCAGGACUGGUCCUUUACCUCAAGCCAAACACCUAGACCUUGAACUCCUGUUCAGCCUCAGGAUAUGUUAGGGCAGCCAGAGCAUCAAAAGAAAUAGCAGUACUCCUUUGCUUUGGGCAUCUGCUGAUCCCAGCUCUGAACAUAAAUUCUUGUGAGCAUGUGCAGUAGAGAAUCAGGAACAAGUCCUGUGAUUCCUGUUACUUUAUUUUUUCCAUCUCCUUGUACUCCUCAGCCUGGAGUCCACAUAUGUCUUUGUGCAUGGUGGAUGCUGGGUACUGAUGGAUAAUGUGUAUUUUGUCUCUUUGCAGCUCUGCAACCUCCAUGUCUGUCCCUUUUCAAAAACCUCUCUGAGGGCUUCAGUUAGAGAUUAAGUGGGGAGGCGUAGAACUGUUUCCCACAUGUCUUAGAGAGAAGGCAUUUUACAGGAAGUGUUUUGCAGUACAAGGGGGGAAAGGAGAAUAGCAAACCAUUUGGGAUUUAUAAUUGUUGCAUAUGAGGGGAGAACAAUUAUAUGCAUGCUCCUCGUGGGGAUUAGUUUGUGUCUGCUUUUAUGACAUUUACUUCCCUGUAUUCAACAAUGAGUUUCAUCGAAAGUGCCUUUUUUUACUGUGAGAAAAGAAAAUUACCAAUAGAAAGCCCCAACAAUCAUUUGCAUCUACUUCAGUGGUGAGACUCGAUAAUAUAACCAAGGGGCCCUCUUCUACUCCAUGAUGUUUGUAUCACUUAUAAGUUAAGGACCCUGUUUCAAUGACAGAGAAUCAGGCUUGUUAGUCUUGAAAGGAGUAAGGUGCAUGUCAGAGUACUGGAGGCUGCAGUAAUGCAGAAUUCAUACAAGUGUUUUGUGCCAUAUUUAGACGAUGAGCAUACCACAACAUAAAAAUUAAGGGAGGGAUAUUAAAUUCUCUCCUCUCCAGAAGCAGCUGACUUGUACUUAGUACAUAAGUAUUAAGUUCACUUUCAUAUGGUUCAUUUUGGCCUUUAAACCAGCCUCACAAGUCGUCUGAGUGCCAUCAGUGGGAGAUCAUGUUGCGACACUAGAUAGACCACUUAGUCUUGGAUGCCAAUGAGGCAUACUGAAAUUUCCAUUCUCAAGACUAGAUAUGCUUUUGGACAAUCAUGGUUUGUUGGAAAUGCUCCUCAUUGUGAUGCCUGGAGGGUCAACAUAGAUAUCUCUGAUACUGGUGUCACACUGUGGUAGGAGGUUUUGGUAUCAAGACUUUGGUUUACUAGUAGGAAUCUCGAUGCUGUGCCUCUUCCUCAUACUGUAAUAUGGAUAGUCUCUGUGUGCGUGGAGUUGGAAUGGCUGGCAGUGCUGGACCAUUCCUUUUCUUUACCUGUGAAGGAGAUCAUUGUCUUACAGGUGAGUUUACAGAACAGACUGGAUUCUCAGCUCGCAUUCUUUUAGGCCUGUACCUUGUACUAAUACAGCAGUUACAGUAAUUUUGGAUUAUUUGCUGGAAACAAAAGUAGUCUGGCUCCUGCUUAUUUUUGUUAAGAUUUACUUGAUCAAACUGCCAAAGACUUUUUUCUUCAGUCAGUCCUACAUUUGCUACUGAUGAUAAUCCCGGGCUCACUGUUUGAAUCUGGAUAGGUUAUUUGUUGGUGUUUAAAUAAUUGGAUUUUUUUCGUUGCAGUAACUAACUAGCUGACUGAUCCUCUUCAUACUGUUUCUUUUCUGGACACAUUAUUCCUGUAGAUCUGUCAUGAGUUUCUUCUAAAAGAAGCUUCUGAGCUUUACGUAGCCUGAGACUUUACCUCCUUUUCUUCUUUCUAGAACCUUGUGUUCCUAGAGCUAAGACAUUCUUGUUACACCAAACAUCAGGAGGACCUUAUUUUAUCUUUGCAGAAUCAGGUCAGUCAAACAGUCCUUGAAACUGGUUAUACCAAGAGCACAAAACUUAACAUUCAUAGUUCUCUUUAUGCAGAAAGUGGUUAACUGCAAAAGAGAUGAGCAAGGAGGCGUGUAAAGGAGAAGGUGAAAAGGGAGUAAUUGUUCAUAGGUUUGCCCAUGAGAAGAAGUAGGAGCAUCAAAUGAAACUAACACAUCAGAUUCAAAGGGGAAAAAAAGGGGGGGGGGUGUUGUGAUUUUCUUUUUUCACAGUACGUAAUUGACCUAUGGAACUCCAUGUCACAAGAUGUUGUGGGUACAAAAAAGUGUAUAUGGUUUGAAAAGAUAAGUAGACAAAUCCAUGAAAAAGUAAUCUACUGGGGCAUAUUAAAUAUUAAAACUAAAAAACAAGCAGGAAGUUUCUAAGACUUUUCAAGUGACUAUUCUGGAGAAGUAUCAUGAUGGGCUUUUUCCAAUUUUUAGUGUGUCUAUCAGGCGUGUGCUGUUGACCAGUGACAGAGAUGAGAGGUGGGCUAGAUGGUCUUGUAGUCUGACUUUGUAUGGAUGUUUUAUUUUGACAGUCGCAGUACAGCCUAGUAGAACAGUUAAGGCAAAGUUGCCUUCCACGACAACAGCAUGUUCCACCAGAAUUCACUCUGUGGUGUUGGGUUCUCUAAGAAAAGUCUCCAUUGCUGACAUCUGCCAAGUUGUCGCAUGCAGCUUGUCUAUGUCUUCACCUGGAUGGGCGCUAUAUAUUGCAGAGUUUUUCAGAAUGAUGAAGCUCUUAAAAGAGCAUAAAGGACACCAAGAUCCACCUCUAGACAGUUGUGAUUUUGGGGGAAAGUAGGUUGCUGUAUGGAAGUCAUCACUAAUAUGAUGUAUGUAAAUGGUUAAUCACUUAAAUAUGGAAAAGAAAAUACUUACUACUCUGAAGGUCUUAAUCUUAUUCAUACACAUUUCACUUCUCUCCAUCUUUGUCUUCCGAAGUGCUUGAGUGCAGAGCACCUUCUGGGUGAAUGUACACUACCACCCCACAUCUUAAAGAACUACAGUACCUGGUCACUGCUUUCUUCCCACUUUAGAACCCUACUGUCCUUUUCGAAAAAAAUGAGAUUAAGUUUCCCUGCUGCCUUAGAGAUGAGUAGUUAAGAAACACAAGCUGAUCUUCUCCAAAAUUGUUGAAUGCUGAGUUUUUGAAACAGCCUCUCCAUGUGGUUUUAACACAGAGGACAAACUUCACUGAACUAAAGGUGACAAACAAGACACCAAGUCUGCCCUGAGGAGUCUGCUCUGUCUGUUACCUUACAAAAAAAAAGGAUUUUACUGGCCCUCAUUGAAAAAGAGUGUUCACUGCUGUUCCAAUUUACAGGAAAGAAUCACUGAUCACUGUGGAGACCCUGGUGUGAAGCUUUUGCCAGUGGUAUUCAGUGAAUAAUAGUGGUUCCGU